rnacentral:rRNA from 1 species
UACGGGGGGAGCAAGCGUUGUUCGGAUUUACUGGGCGUAAAGGGCGCGUAGGCGGCCACCGCAAGUCGACUGUGAAAUCUCCGGGCUUAACCCGGAAAGGUCAGCCGAUACUGCGGGGCUAGAGUGCAGAAGGGGCAACUGGAAUUCUCGGUGUAGCGGUGAAAUGCGUAGAUAUCGAGAGGAACACCUGCGGCGAAGGCGGGUUGCUGGGCUGACACUGACGCCGAUGUGCGAAAGCUAGGGGAGCGAACGGG